UUCGGAUAUUGGGCGUAAGGGCUCGCAGGCGGUUUCUUAAGUCUGAUGUGAAAGCCCCCGGCUCAACCGGGGAGGGUCAUUGGAAACUGGGAAACUUGAGUGCAGAAGAGGAGAGUGGAAUUCCACGUGUAGCGGUGAAAUGCGUAGAGAUGUGGAGGAACACCAGUGGCGAAGGCGACUCUCUGGUCUGUAACUGACGCUGAGGAGCGAAAGCGUGGGGAGCGAACAGGAUUAGAUACCCUGGUAGUCCACGCCGUAAACGAUGAGUGCUAAGUGUUAGGGGGUUUCCGCCCCUUAGUGCUGCAGCUAACGCAUUAAGCACUCCGCCUGGGGAGUACGGUCGCAAGACUGAAACUCAAAGGAAUUGACGG
rnacentral:rRNA from 1 species